AGCGAACGCUGGCGGCAGGCUUAACACAUGCAAGUCGAGCGGGCAUAGCAAUAUGUCAGCGGCAGACGGGUGAGUAACGCGUGGGAACGUACCUUUUGGUUCGGAACAACUGAGGGAAACUUCAGCUAAUACCGGAUAAGCCCUUACGGGGAAAGAUUUAUCGCCGAAAGAUCGGCCCGCGUCUGAUUAGCUAGUUGGUGAGGUAAUGGCUCACCAAGGCGACGAUCAGUAGCUGGUCUGAGAGGAUGAUCAGCCACAUUGGGACUGAGACACGGCCCAAACUCCUGCGGGAGGCAGCAGUGGGGAAUAUUGGACAAUGGGCGAAAGCCUGAUCCAGCCAUGCCGCGUGGGUGAUGAAGGCCCUAGGGUUGUAAAGCUCUUUUGUGCGGGAAGAUAAUGACGGUACCGCAAGAAUAAGCCCCGGCUAACUUCGUGCCAGCCGCCGCCGUAA
rnacentral:rRNA from 1 species